rnacentral:rRNA from 1 species
GACGAACGCUGGCGGCGUGCUUAACACAUGCAAGUCGAACGGAGAGGCCCUGCUUGCAGGGUACUCGAGUGGCGAACGGGUGAGUAACACGUGGGUGAUCUGCCCUGCACUUCGGGAUAAGCCUGGGAAACUGGGUCUAAUACCGGAGAGGAGCCAUUUUUAGUGUGAUGGUGGGAAAGUUUUUUCGGUGUAGGAUGAGCUCGCGGCCUGUCAGCUUGUUGGUGGGGUAAUGGCCUACCAAGGCGGCGGCGGGUAGCCGGCCGGAGAGGGUGGACGGCCACAUUGGGACUGAGAUACGGCCCAGACCCCUACGGGGGGCAGCAGUGGGGAAUAUUGCACAAUGGGCGCAAGCCUGAUGCAGCGACGCCGCGGGGGGGAUGACGGCCUUCGGGUUGUAAACUCCUUUCGCUAGGGACGAAGCUUUUUGUGACGGUACCUAGAGAAGAAGCACCGGCUAACUACGUG